ACGGGCGAGUAACGCGUACUUAACCUACCCAGAAGUUGGGAACAACUACGGAGACGUAGCUAAUUCCCAAUGUUCCCUGCACUAUGAAAAAAUGCAGGGCAAAGAUUUAUCGCUUUUGGAGGGGGGUGCGUCCUAUCAGGUAGUUGGUGUGGUAAUAGCUCACCAAGCCUAUGACGGGUAGCCGGUCUGAGAGGAUGUCCGGCCGCAAUGGAACUGAGACACGGUCCAUACUCCUACGGGAGGCAGCAGUGGGGAAUCUUGCGCAAUGGGCGAAAGCCUGACGCAGCAAUCCCGCGUGAAGGAUGAAGCAUUAUGGUGUGUAAACUUCUUUUCUGGUGGAAGACGAAUGACGGUACACCAGGAAUAAGGGACGGCUAACUACGUGCCAGCAGCCGCGGUAAUACGUAGGUCCCAAGUGUUAUCCGGAAUUACUGGGCGUAAAAGAGUCUGUAGCCGGGUUUGUAAGUCUGUUUUCAAAUCCUAUGGCUUAACCAUAGAGAGGGAAUGGAUACUGCAAACCUUGAGAUUAUUGGGGGUUGAUGGAAUUUCCGGUGGAGCGGUGAAAUGCGUCGAUAUCGGAAGGAACGCCAAAAGUGAAAGCAGUCAACUACAAUAAAUCUGACGGUCAGAGACGAAAGCUUGGGGAGCAAACGGGAUUAGAUACCCCGGUAGUCCAAGCCGUAAAUUAUGCAUGCUAGGUGUC
rnacentral:rRNA from 1 species